UAUUAAAAAAUUCAUCUAUUUCUACAGUUAAAAAUUGGCAUGGUUGAUGGAAUAACUAGAUACCUACACGUGGCAUGCCACGUGAACCUCAUGUUGGUAUACAGGGAUCAAUUUUUAACAGUAAAAAUGAAUGAAAAUUUUAAAA
rfam:Gossypium arboreum cultivar AKA8401 contig_17153_3, whole genome shotgun sequence.